rnacentral:rRNA from 1 species
AUGACCUACUUCGAUGAGAAAGCGAAGGAAGAUGCAGAUUUCUUCUACAGGAUAAGAUUGGAUGAUGAGGACCGUGUCAGGAACAUGUAUUGGGUGGAUGCUGCUGCAAGAAGAGCCUACAAACAUUUCCGAGAUUGCAUUUCAUUCGACGCGACGUAUCUCACUAAUAUGUACAAGAUGCCAUGCGCUCCAUUCAUAGGAAUAAAUAACCACAAUCAGUCGUUGCAGUUCGGAUGCGGGCUCGUUCGGAACAAAGACACGGAUGGGUACGUUUGGCUAUUCAAGACCUUCUUCGAGUGCAUGGAUGGACUUGCUCCGAUGAACAUAAUAACAGACCAGGAUUUUAGCAUGCGUGCAGGCAUAGAGGGGGUCUUUCCGUUGGUAGUGCACAGGCACUGCAGGUGGCACAUUAUAAAGAAGGCUGAGGAGACGCUAGGACCGUUCUUUGCUGACAGUGGAGGAGUUUGA